rnacentral:tRNA from 1 species
GGCGGGAUAGCUCAGCUGGUUAGAGCGUCGGAAUCAUAAUCCGUAGGUCGGGGGUUCGAGUCCCUCUCCCGCUA